CACGUAGGGAGCAAGCGUUGUCCGGAUUUAUUGGGCGUAAAGAGCUCGUAGGUGGUUCGAUAAGUCGGGUGUGAAACCUCCAGGCUCAACCUGGAGACGCCACCCGAUACUGUCGUGACUAGAGUCCAGUAGGGGAGCGUGGAAUUCCUGGUGUAGCGGUGAAAUGCGUAGAUAUCAGGAGGAACACCAGCGGCGAAGGCGGGUUGCUGGGCCGACACUGACGCUGAAGCGCGAAAGCUAGGGGAGCGAACGGG
rnacentral:rRNA from 1 species